GUGGUUUAAUGAUAAUGUGACCCAUAAGUUCAUAUGCUUGAAUAUUUGGUCCCCAGUUGGUAGAACUAUAUGGGAAGGAUUGAAAGGUGUGGCCUUGUUGGAAGAGAUGUGUCAUUGAGGGUGGGCUUUGAGGUUUCAAAAACCGGGGCCAUUCCCAAUUAGUCUUCACUGCUCCCUACUUGGGAUAUGAAUAUAAGGUCUUAGCUGCUGCUCCAGCACCAUGCCUGCUGCCUGCUGUCUGCUGCCAUGUCCCAUUCCCAUAAUGGUCAUGGACUCUGAUGCUCUGCAUCCAUGAGACCAAAAUUAAAUACUUUCUUUUUUAUAAGUUGCCUUGGUCAUGGCAUUUUGUCAUGAAAACAGAAAAGUAAGUAAAACAAAAGAUGGAACUGAGAAAUAGGAUGUUACUGUGACAGACCUGAUCAUGCUGGUUUGGGAUGAAUAUGGAAGACGGGACAUUGGAUUAGGAAAGCUGUUGAGUACUGUAAGCAAGGUUAAGUGGACCAUUCUUAUAGGAAUGGAGAACAGUGGUGCUGAGAUCCAUGUGGAUUAUGGAUGCUCAGUUCAAGAAGUUUCAGAGAACAAUAUUACCAAGUGUUAGAAACCUGUUUUGAUAUUUUGGCAAAGAAUAUUGAUGCUUUCAGCCCUUAUUCUAAAAAAUCUUCCUGGAACUAAAUUGAGACUUUUUGGACUAAUUUUAUUGGCAGAGCAGAUUUUAAGACAGCGUAAUAUUAACUCUGUUGCAUGACUGUUAGUAAUCAUUCUUAUGUAGGACUGCAGUGAAAGGUAACAAGUAGGACAAAAGGAAAAUGCACAAAAUGGACAGUGGAGGAGGAGACAAGGUGCUGUGAAGCUUAAUGUUUGUACUGAAAGAGAUAAGGAGAGGGCUGAGAGCUGAGGAAAAAUGGAAUAAAGGGAGGGUUGUCCUCAGAGCAAGACCCCACCAACAGCUAAUUCUAUUUGUAAAAAGGAAAUGCCUAAGGAAUUUUCUGCAAAAAGCUGCAACAGGGAAAAAAAUGUUAUGCAAAUGUAAUUCAAGAAGGGAACAGGUUCCAACUGAAGUGGCUGAAGUUGGCGGCAUUGGCCAGGUAGUUCUGGCUUAGAGUCCUGAGGGAUACAGGAGUAAAGGAAUUGUGGAAUCUUCCUCUGCAGUUCAGAAAAGCCUCUGAGGCCAGGUGUGUGGCAGGGGAGUUCCUGCAUGGAAGCCCAGAGAAACCAUACAUGAAGUUGUGAGAGCCAAGCCUGGAUUGUGUUGGAGAUCCCAAGAUGUUGGAGAUGCCAGAAUCCUGUGAGAUCCCGGCAAGGAGAGCUGCAAUAGAGAGUGGGAGCAAACCAAGAGAGAAAGACACAUGAUGGGUCAGCAAAACUGGAAGGGAGGAGCCAUCUGAGCCCUUUGACAGCUGAUAUAGAGCUACAGGAUUUGGAGUUUGCCCUGCUGGGUUUUUGUCUUGCUUUGGUCCAGUAUUUUUUCACUCUGUUCCCAUUCCUCCCUUUUGGAAUGGUAAUGUAUAUUCUGUGUCAAUGUAUAUUGAAAGUAUGUAAUUUACUUUUAUAAGGAAUUACAAUUAAGAAGUCAUCUUGAGUCUUAGAAGAGAUAUUUGUACUUUAAAAUAGUGUUCAGACCAUGAAAGACUAUGGAGAGUUUUAGAGUUGGACUAAAGGCAUUUCACGUUGUGAUAUGGCACAAGCCCAUGACAAUCAAGGGGUAGGAUAUGGCUGGUGGUUUGAGUAAAAAUGGCCCCCAUACACUCAUAUAUUUGAACUCUUGGUCCCCAGUUGGUGGAACUAUUUGGGAAGGAUUAAGAAGUAUAGCUCAUUGGAGGAGGUAUAUGUGGGGGGUGGAGCUUUGAGGUAGCUCCCUCUGCCCCCUACUUGUAUAAAGGGAUGUAAGCUCUCAGCUACCGCUCCAACGCUAUGGUUGCCUGCCUGCUGCCAUGCUCUCUCCAUGGUGGUCAUGGACUCUAAUCCUCUACAAACAUGAGCCCCAAAUUAAACACUUUCUUUUAUAUUGCUUUGGUCAUGGCAUUUUGGCACAAUAAUUGAAAAGUAAGUAAGACAGAAUCUAACAGCAAGUCAUCUUUACAGAUCUUAAUUGACUUGUCUCUGUAAUUAACAAAGAUACUAGGAAAAAAGUUUGGGAUAGUCUACCCACUCAUGUACAAGUUAUACAUAUAGCAAAAGAAAAGAAAAUGAUAUGCAGAAAAUGUAAGUGAGUGGGCUGGAGAGAUAGCUCAGUAGUUAAGAGCACUGGCUACUCUUCUAAAGGACCCAGGUUCAGUUCCUACCACCUUUACAACUGUUCACAUCUGUCUGCAAAACACCAAUGC
rnacentral:lncRNA from 1 species